AGUGAACGCUGGCGGUAGGCCUAACACAUGCAAGUUGAACGGCAGCACAGUAAGAGCUUGCUCUUACGGGUGGCGAGUGGCGGACGGGUGAGGAAUACAUCGGAAUCUACUUUUUCGUGGGGGAUAACGUAGGGAAACUUACGCUAAUACCGCAUACGACCUACGGGUGAAAGCAGGGGAUCUUCGGACCUUGCGCGAUUGAAUGAGCCGAUGUCGGAUUAGCUAGUUGGCGGGGUAAAGGCCCACCAAGGCGACGAUCCGUAGCUGGUCUGAGAGGAUGAUCAGCCACACUGGAACUGAGACACGGUCCAGACUCCUACGGGAGGCAGCAGUGGGGAAUAUUGGACAAUGGGCGAAAGCCUGAUCCAGCCAUACCGCGUGGGUGAAGAAGGCCUUCGGGCUGUAAAGCCCUUUUGUUGGGAAAGAAAAGCAGCAGGUUAAUACCCCGCUGUUCUGACGGUACCCAAAGAAUAAGCACCGGCUAACUUCGUG
rnacentral:rRNA from 1 species